rnacentral:tRNA from 1 species
GGGCUUGUAGCUCAGUCCGGUUAGAGCGUCUGCCCGACACGCAGAAGGUCCCUGGUUCGAAUCCAGGCGAGCCCACUA